UAGGGAAUCUUCGGCAAUGGGGGCAACCCUGACCGAGCAACGCCGCGUGAGUGAAGAAGGUUUUCGGAUCGUAAAGCUCUGUUGUAAGAGAAGAACGUGUGUGAGAGUGGAAAGUUCACACAGUGACGGUAACUUACCAGAAAGGGAUGGCUAACUACGUGCCAGCAGCCGCGGUAAUUAGUAGGUCCAGAGCGUUGUCCGGAUGUAUUGGGCGUAAAGCGAGAGCAGGCGGUUUAAUAAGUCUGAAGUUAAAGGUAGUGGCUUAACCAUUGUUCGCUUUUUAAACUGUUAAUCUUGAGUGCAGGAGGGGAGAGUGGAAUUCCAUGUGUAGCGGUGAAAUGCUGAGGUAUAUGGAAGAACACCGGUGGCGAAAGCGGCUCUCUGGUCUGUAACUGACGCUGAGGCUCGAAAGCGUGGGGAGCAAACAGG
rnacentral:rRNA from 1 species